GGACAAGCUCUCCACAAACGGCUGCAGUUCUGAUUCAUUUACUUCUGCAACUUUAAUGAACGGCUGCCCAUUCAAGGGAUCCAAUAUUGUAUUCCAACUAGAAGAUUUUGUCCACUUGCCCUGCACCAAGUUGUGAACUUCAGCAGGUUGAGAGCCUGAUACUUCUUCAGCUUUUACAGUAGCAAAAGACAAAGUGUGGUUUGAUCUUCUAGAAUCGAAUAAAGUGAUCCAAUUGAGAUGACUAGAAGAAGCUCUCUUCUGCAAUUGCCUGUAUGCGGAAAGUCGAUACAUCAUUCUCUUCCAAACUUUUC
rnacentral:misc_RNA from 1 species